rnacentral:misc_RNA from 1 species
GAUGAAGAACGCAGCGAAAUGCGAUAAGUAAUGUGAAUUGCAGAAUUCAGUGAAUCAUCGAAUCUUUGAACGCACCUUGCACUCCUUGGUAUUCCGAGGAGUACGCCUGUUCGAGUGUUAUGAAGCUCUCAAAACGCAAUUGGCUUAAAACCUGAUUGUUGUUUUGGAUUUGAACUUUGCCGUGUUAUAACGGCUGGUUUUAAAAGUAUUAGCUGGUACUAGAACGAAUUGGUUCUACUCAACGUGAUAAUUAUCUGAUCGUUGAGGACAUUCCUUUCACGAGGAAUGGCCAUAGUAAAUUCAAUGGACUGCUACUAAUCUGGCUUUAAUUCUUUAUUGGAUUAACCACUUUUCAAAUCUGACCUCGAAUCAGGUGGGACUACCCGCUGAACUUAAGCAUAUCAAUAAGCGGAGGA